AUUGAACGCUGGCGGCAUGCCUUACACAUGCAAGUCGAACGCGAAAGGGGGCAACCCCGAGUAGAGUGGCGAACGGGUGAGCAAUACAUCGGAACAUGUCCUGUAGCGGGGGACAACCUCGAGAAAUCGAGGCUAAUACCGCAUACGAUCUACGGAUGAAAGUGGGGGACCGCAAGGCCCCACACUAUAGGAGUGGCCGAUGCCGGAUUAGCUAGUUGGCGGGGUAUGGCCCACCAAGGCGACGACCCGUAGCUGGUUUGAGAGAACGACCAGCCACACUGGGACUGAGACACGGCCCAGACUCCGACGGGAGGCAGCAGUGGGGAAUUUUGGACAAUGGGCGAAAGCCUGAUCCAGCCAUGCCGCGUGAGUGAAGAAGGCCUUCGGGUUGUAAAGCUCUUUCGGCGGGGACGAAAUGGCGCGGGGUAACAUCCCGCGUCGAUGACGGUACCCGAAGAUGAAGGACCGGCUAACUACGUGCCAGCCGCCGCGGUAAUAC
rnacentral:rRNA from 1 species